rnacentral:lncRNA from 1 species
CGGUGAAAUCAUCGGCUUUCAUUCUCUGCCUCUCAACGCCUUUUUCUCAGGACUUCGAAUUCUGCCUCCGUGUCCUUGAUGGCCUGCUGCUCGCAUGCCAGCUGGAUCUUCACUUGCUACAGCUCGGCCUUCCCCUCCCCAAGGGUGACAGAUAACUCUUCCACGGUUCUUCUCAGGGACUGGAGUUUGUUGGAAUCCCGAGCGGAAGCAAGCUGAGCCUCUCCGACUAGCUGCCCUUGAAGGUGGGCAACUUCGUCUGUCGCCCUCCUGAGCCUCCCCUUGUAUUCAUCCACCUGCUUGCGUCAGUCGACCCGGUACGCGUCAUAGCUCACCUCGGCAUCCUGGAGCUAUUGCUGGAGGUUGGAGACCUUCUUUGACCACUCCCGAUCGC